rnacentral:rRNA from 1 species
UAAGGAAUAUUGGACAAUGGUGGAAACACUGAUCCAGCCAUGCCGCGUGCAGGAUGAAUGCCCUAUGGGUUGUAAACUGCUUUUAUACGGGAAAAAACCCCACUACGUGUAGUGGGCUGAUGGUACCGUAAGAAUAAGGAUCGGCUAACUUCGUGCCAGCAGCCGCGGUAAUACGAAGGAUUCGAGCGUUAUCCGGAUUUAUUGGGUUUAAAGGGUGCGUAGGUGGACUAAUAAGUCAGUGGUGAAAGCCCGCAGCUUAACUGCGGAACUGCCAUUGAUACUGUUAGUCUUGAGUACAGUUGAGGUGGGCGGAAUGUGUCAUGUAGCGGUGAAAUGCUUAGAUAUGACACAGAACACCGAUUGCGAAGGCAGCUCACUAAGCUGUAACUGACACUGAGGCACGAAAGUGUGGGUAGCAAACAG